CAUCGAGGAGUCCCACGUCGACUAAUGAAGAGGUUGAUCACGAGUUUAUAAGUAAGGAAUACAUUUACACUAGUACAAGACGUUUUGGAUAAACCAAAAG